rnacentral:rRNA from 1 species
CUACGGGCUGCACCAGUUAGGCAUAUUUUGCAAUGCGCGCAAGCGUGACAAAUUGAGCCAGAGUGUCCUCCAUAUCGGCGGACUUUUAUGGAAUGUAAAAAGUUCUAUGAAUAAGGACUGGGUAAGACUAGUGCCAGCCGCCGCGGUAAUACUAGCGGUCCAAGUCGCAGCCAUUUUUAUUGGGUCUAAAACAUCCGUAGCUUGCUUGGUAAGUUCUUUGUGAAAUUUUAUCUCUUAAAGAUAAAGCGCGCAAGGAGUACUGCCGAGCUAGAGACUGGAAGAUGUAGGAAGUAUGCUCAAAGUAGCGGUAAAAUGUUUUAAUCUUGAACAGACUCACAAUAGCGAAGGCAUCCUACAAGGACAGUUCUGACAGUAAGGGAUGAAGGCUAGGGGCGCAAAACGGAUUAGAUACCCGUGUAGUC